rnacentral:rRNA from 1 species
UACGUAGGGACCAAGCGUUGUUCGGAUUUACUGGGCGUAAAGGGCGCGUAGGCGGCGCGGUAAGUCACUUGUGAAAUCUCUGAGCUUAACUCAGAACGGCCAAGUGAUACUGCAGUGCUAGAGUGUGGAAGGGGCAAUCGGAAUUCUUGGCGUAGCGGUGAAAUGCGUAGAUAUCAAGAGGAACACCUGAGGUGAAGACGGGUUGCUGGGCCAACACUGACGCUGAGGCGCGAAAGCCAGGGGAGCAAACGGG